rnacentral:rRNA from 1 species
UAGGGAAUCUUCCACAAUGGGCGGCAAGCCUGAUGGAGCAACACCGCGUGAGUGAAGAAGGUUUUCGGAUCGUAAAACUCUGUUGGUAGAGAAGAACGUUGGUGAGAGUGGAAAGCUCAUCAAGUGACGGUAACUACCCAGAAAGGGACGGCUAACUACGUGUCAG